CUCAGAUUGAACGCUGGCGGCAGGCCUAACACAUGCAAGUCGAGCGGUAGCACAGAGAGCUUGCUCUCGGGUGACGAGCGGCGGACGGGUGAGUAAUGUCUGGGAAACUGCCUGAUGGAGGGGGAUAACUACUGGAAACGGUAGCUAAUACCGCAUAACGUCGCAAGACCAAAGUGGGGGACCUUCGGGCCUCAUGCCAUCAGAUGUGCCCAGAUGGGAUUAGCUAGUAGGUGGGGUAACGGCUCACCUAGGCGACGAUCCCUAGCUGGUCUGAGAGGAUGACCAGCCACACUGGAACUGAGACACGGUCCAGACUCCUACGGGAGGCAGCAGUGGGGAAUAUUGCACAAUGGGCGCAAGCCUGAUGCAGCCAUGCCGCGUGUGUGAAGAAGGCCUUCGGGUUGUAAAGCACUUUCAGCGGGGAGGAAGGCGGUGAGGUUAAUAACCUCAUCGAUUGACGUUACCCGCAGAAGAAGCACCGGCUAACUCCGUGCCAGCAGCCGCGGUAAUACGGAGGGUGCAAGCGUUAAUCGGAAUUACUGGGCGUAAAGCGCACGCAGGCGGUCUGUCAAGUCGGAUGUGAAAUCCCCGGGCUCAACCUGGGAACUGCAUUCGAAACUGGCAGGCUAGAGUCUUGUAGAGGGGGGUAGAAUUCCAGGUGUAGCGGUGAAAUGCGUAGAGAUCUGGAGGAAUACCGGUGGCGAAGGCGGCCCCCUGGACAAAGACUGACGCUCAGGUGCGAAAGCGUGGGGAGCAAACAGGAUUAGAUACCCUGGUAGUCCACGCUGUAAACGAUGUCGAUUUGGAGGUUGUGCCCUUGAGGCGUGGCUUCCGGAGCUAACGCGUUAAAUCGACCGCCUGGGGAGUACGGCCGCAAGGUUAAAACUCAAAUGAAUUGACGGGGGCCCGCACAAGCGGUGGAGCAUGUGGUUUAAUUCGAUGCAACGCGAAGAACCUUACCUGGUCUUGACAUCCACAGAACUUUCCAGAGAUGGAUUGGUGCCUUCGGGAACUGUGAGACAGGUGCUGCAUGGCUGUCGUCAGCUCGUGUUGUGAAAUGUUGGGUUAAGUCCCGCAACGAGCGCAACCCUUAUCCUUUGUUGCCAGCGGUCCGGCCGGGAACUCAAAGGAGACUGCCAGUGAUAAACUGGAGGAAGGUGGGGAUGACGUCAAGUCAUCAUGGCCCUUACGACCAGGGCUACACACGUGCUACAAUGGCAUAUACAAAGAGAAGCGACCUCGCGAGAGCAAGCGGACCUCAUAAAGUAUGUCGUAGUCCGGAUUGGAGUCUGCAACUCGACUCCAUGAAGUCGGAAUCGCUAGUAAUCGUAGAUCAGAAUGCUACGGUGAAUACGUUCCCGGGCCUUGUACACACCGCCCGUCACACCAUGGGAGUGGGUUGCAAAAGAAGUAGGUAGCUUAACCUUCGGGAGGGCG
rnacentral:rRNA from 1 species